rnacentral:ribozyme from 1 species
GACCGGAACCAUCGCGAGCUCCGCUAUCAUCGACGAUUGCCAGAAGAACAUCUUCUUUCACCAUGAAUUGGUCCGUAUUUUAAAGAGUAGCAAGAAGGAUAAGAAGACUCCAUUUCCCACUCAAUCCCCAUUUCCCACUCAAUCCCCAUCUCCCACGGACUAUCCCAGUAAGAGUAGCAAGA